GCACGAGUAACUCAGUUGGUAGAGUGGCUGCCUGAAGAGCAGCAGGUCACAUGUUCGAAUCAUGUCUCGUGCA
rnacentral:tRNA from 1 species